rnacentral:rRNA from 1 species
AGAGUUUGAUCCUGGCUCAGAUUGAACGCUGGCGGCAGGCCUAACACAUGCAAGUCGAGCGGCAGCACGGGUACUUGUACCUGGUGGCGAGCGGCGGACGGGUGAGUAAUGCCUAGGAAUCUGCCUGGUAGUGGGGGAUAACGCUCGGAAACGGACGCUAAUACCGCAUACGUCCUACGGGAGAAAGCAGGGGACCUUCGGGCCUUGCGCUAUCAGAUGAGCCUAGGUCGGAUUAGCUAGUUGGUGAGGUAAUGGCUCACCAAGGCGACGAUCCGUAACUGGUCUGAGAGGAUGAUCAGUCACACUGGAACUGAGACACGGUCCAGACUCCUACGGGAGGCAGCAGUGGGGAAUAUUGGACAAUGGGCGAAAGCCUGAUCCAGCCAUGCCGCUGUGUGUGAAGAAGGUCUUCGGAUUGUAAAGCACUUUAAGUUGGGAGGAAGGGCAGUUACCUAAUACGUGAUUGUUUUGACGUUACCGACAGAAUAAGCACCGGCUAA